rnacentral:rRNA from 1 species
CCUANGGGAGGCAGCAGUAGGGAAUUUUGCGCAAUGGACGAAAGUCUGACGCAGCAACGCCGCGUGAGUGAUGAAGGUCUUCGGAUUGUAAAGCUCUGUUGAGUGGGAAGAAAAGUUUCGGGAAUAAUACCCUGGAACGUGAUGGUACCAUUCGAGUAAGCACCGGCUAACUACGUGCCAGCAGCCGCGGUAAUACGUAGGGUGCAAGCGUUGUUCGGAAUCACUGGGCGUAAAGGGAGAGUAGGCGGGAAAAUAAGUUAGGAGUUUAAUAUAUCGGCUUAACCGAUAAUCUGCUUCUAAUACUGUUUUUCUUGAGUAUGGGAGAGGGAAAUGGAAUUCCAGGUGUAGCGGUGGAAUGCGUAGAUAUCUGGAAGAACACCAGCUGCGAAGGCGGUUUCCUGGCCCAAUACUGACGCUGAGGCUCGAAAGCUAGGGGAGCAAACAGGAUUAGAUACCCUANUANUC